rnacentral:rRNA from 2 species
GCAAGUCGAGCGAUGAAAUUUCGACAGAUCCCUUCGGGGUGAAGAUGAAAUGGAUUAGCGGCGGACGGGUGAGUAACACGUGAGUAACCUGCCUUAGACAUUGGGAUAGCCUCGGGAAACCGGGAUUAAUACCAAAUGAAAUCACAUAUGCACAUGCAUAAAUGAUCAAAGCUCCGGCGGUCUAAGAUGGACUCGCGUCCCAUUAGCUAGUUGGUGAGGUAACGGCCCACCAAGGCGACGAUGGGUAGCCGGCCUGAGAGGGUGAACGGCCACAUUGGAACUGAGAAACGGUCCAAACUCCUACGGGAGGCAGCAGUGGGGAAUAUUGCACAAUGGAGGGAACUCUGAUGCAGCGACGCCGCGUGAACGAAGAAGGCUUUCGAGUCGUAAAGUUCUUUUAUAUGGGAAGAUAAUGACGGUACCAUAAGAAAAAGCCCCGGCUAACUACGUGCCAGCAGCCGCGGUAAUACGUAGGGGGCUAGCGUUGUCCGGAAUCACUGGGCGUAAAGGGUUCGCAGGCGGAAAUGCAAGUCAGGUGUAAAAGGCAGUAGCUUAACUACUGUAAGCAUUUGAAACUGCAUAUCUUGAGAAGAGUAGAGGUAAGUGGAAUUUUUAGUGUAGCGGUGAAAUGCGUAGAUAUUAAAAAGAAUACCGGUGGCGAAGGCGACUUACUGGGCUCAUUCUGACGCUGAGGAACGAAAGCGUGGG